UACAAACACACCCCUAAACCACAGAUAGAACAAUGAGAGAUAUUUCACCGGAUGUAUACAUGUGAAGCAUCCGCUUGGCUUUACCACACACUACCAAAUAUGGUAGUGAAAGGCAGCCCAGUGGGAAAAGAUGGAAGAAGAUGGAUUUUGCCCGACAUUCAGCAGAUUUUCUCAUGGAUGAAACUUUUGAUAUCAAUACAGUUUUCUGUUACUAAAACUAUAAUAUGUUAUGAACAGAGUGGACAAAAUGUUGUAUACUUUACUAUUUGCCCAUAAAAAAAAAAUCGCGUUGUUUAGAAGGCGUGCAAAGGCAAAUUGAGUCAUUGCACACGCGCACUUCACAUAGUAGGCGUUCUCCAACGGAAAUAUAUAGAUGCAUGCUAGAACGGGCCAAUAGGAUCUCGCUACCUCGUGCUUGGCUCUGCCCACCUCCUUGCUUGUUGUGCCCACUAUGACUAAUUUGUUCCCAUUGGAAAGGACAGGCUGUGGUCUAUCUCGGAUUAGUAUGAAACAUAUCUGUCUAAACCAAAAUUGUGUAUAACUAACCCAAGUUUGUAGCCUGCCUUCCGCUUUGGGAUGACUCCCAUUUUUAGGGAGGAGACAUGAGCAUCUCAUUAUAUACGUAUCUCUGGCUAUCGCUAGCGAUCUUGUGCAUACCGCGCUUAAAACUAGAUUAGAUAUAUGUAUUCAUAUUGUUUUUGCAAACGUUCUAAACAAGCAGGCCAUACAAGUGAAAUAAUGUUCAGCAACUUAACUACUACUAUAGUCCUCACCCGGGCAUUUACGAAAGUGUCAAAAGUACCAAAUGUGUCUGACACAUGGUUAUCUGAAACACAAAAGUUCUAGCUUGCAAAAUAUUUGCAAUGCAGCUCCGAGGUAGACUACAAGUGAAGACUAUCAUCUAGGAUGCACGAGCGCGUCCUUAUCGAAUUCUUAGGCGCAUAUUGAAGAUGUUAAAAGUUAUGGAAGGCCAAGAGAUUCAAAUUGUCCUAUGGGCAUUUUUACACGUGUUCAUUACACCUGUUCAGUGUGCAUUUACAGGUGAUUAGAAUGUUUGAAUAUUGUACUUCCAGACUCAUGAAAUUCUGCCAUUGCACACUUUCUGAGCGCCUGUGUAGUAACGGGUACAUUUCAUACGUCUGAAAUUACCACAUUGUAGCCUGUCCCACCUCAAUUUCAGUGGGUUUGACUUUGUUUGACUUCUGGCCUGUUGCGACGAAUCGCUUACUCAGGGAUGGAGGAGAUGUUUCUAAAUAUAGAUCAAAUUGUUAAAAAUAGUCAAGGCAUUGGUGAGAAUUGGAGGAAGAAAUUAAAACACAUUCUUCCAAAUAGCAUUACAACUACAAAGCUGACGCUGGCUAGCUAGCUUAUUUUCAUUGAAAUAGCAUGGCUAGUUAGCUAACUAGCAAUAGUCUUCUGUCUAGCCUGUAACUAAUGGUUGUUACGUUGUGGGACAGAGCAAUAGUUCUUUGUACUUGUCAUUUGGCUGAGACUAACAUUAGUUUAGAAAAUAAUUGUUUACUUUGUGUAUAUUUGUUGUGUAAUUGGUUGGCUUUGCUAAGUAUCAAUCUGAGAUCUAUUUGCUCAAGUUAGCUAAUUUAGCUAUUAGCUAAUGUUUUAGGAGAACAUGCUAGCUAGAAUCUAGACAAUAGAGAAUGGGGAAUAAGAUCUGGCUGUUGCAGUGCCCAGACAAGGUGAGAGAACUGCUACAGAUAAAAAGGUAAGAUCGCUAUCUUGAGUAGCUAUAUUUCAAGGUUGAACCAUGCAAUAGAUAUUUUAUUGGCUUGCUAAAUGAGCUGCUUUUCCUGAAAAUGUCUAUGAUAAAGCUACAAUCUAGAACUUUAAAAGUUAUUCAGCUGUCCCCUUAGGAUAACUUUUUGAAGAACCGUUGUUGCUUCCAAGUAGAACCACUUGAUUCCAGUUGGGUUCUACCUGGAACCAAAAAGGAUUAUACUAAGGGGACAGCUGAAGAACACUUUUGGAACCCCUUUUUCUACGAGUGUAUCUAAAUGUUGUUCUAAUGCAAUGUCCAUGUUACAGCCACAACAUGAUGAUCAUGUAGUCAAACAUCUGAAGUCUAGCGAGGAGGAGAAAAGCCUGCUUUGGAUCAGCUGUCACGUUCGUCAUAUGAAUCGGACCAAGGUGCAGCAUGGAAUCUCCGAAUGCUAUGUUGAAUGAGCACCAUGGAUGAAGGAUGGGAAGGAAAACAGACAGCUUCUUUCGACCACAUCUUCACCAAGUCAUACAAUGUUUGCUUCAUGAACAAUUCUUACAUCUGAAAUAAAUACAGAAUCAUUUUAGUUUAUUCUGUUCCUAAUGCUGGAUGUGAGUAAUUUAGCAGGUCUAUAGUAUGUAUUGUUUUGAAACGUUUAUUUAAUAUCUAUUCAGUCAACUAAUUUAUUUUGUGUUUGCUAAAAGAAUGUAUGUUUUGUACUGUUACUUUUUACAUGCUGAAACAGUCUCAUUAGUUUUGAGCUAGGCUAUGAUCGGGGAAAUGUCUACUGUAAAUGUUUAUUUCCCUUAAUGAGAACUUGGACAAUGUCAGGGAAUAAGUAGGAUAAAUGGACAUCCUAUCAAUGACAAAAUAAACUGCAGAGGUAGCCUUAAAAGAUAACAUUAGAUCUGUGCAUGUUAUUACUGGACAGACAGCUAGCCAGAGCAGUGACCACAUUUUCACAUGGAUGUAUAUACAAAAUGCAACAUGUAAAGUGUUGGUCUCAUGCGCUGAAAUAAAAGAUCCCAGACAUUUUCCAUAGGCACAAGAGGCUUAUUUAUCUCAAAUGUUGUGCACCCUGGUCCUUCCUCCUGUCUCCGUAACAGUUUAUACAUUAUUUUUUUAGAAAACAUUUUAAUUCAGCCUUUGUGGUUUGAAAAGUAUAGUGACUAUUAUUGCUUUAAUUUUCCAAACAAUUUGGGUUUUGGAAAAGUAGGUACUUUUCGCAAAACCAUCCCAUCUGGUGGAUGGAAAGAGUCAUAAUUUAUAUAUAUAAUAAUAUAAAUUAUGACUCUUUCCAUCCACCAAUUUAUUUUUCCUUUAUAUAUAUAUAAUACGUAUAUAUAUAUAUAUACGUAUAUACACACACACACUUCAGACAAGGAAAAAUUCUGUAUAGCUAAAAAUUAUGAAGCUUUUAUGUACUUUUUUAAAAAUACAUAAAUGCUUUUUUUUAUCACAAAAUGUGACGUUAGCUACUAAAUACGUUUUUUUGGCAAUUAUCCAAAAACAACUACAAAAACGCCAUUCCUUACCCAAUAGGCUGAACUUGUGUAAUGAACGCAUGUAAAAUACCCAUAACAAGCGUUCUAAUCACCUGUAAAUGCACACUGAACAGGUGUAAUGAACGAGUGUAAAAAUGCCCAUAACGUGUUCAAAUCGCCUGUAAACACAAAUUGGACAUGUGAAAAAAAUCACGAGUACAAAAAAUGACAUUUGACGCUUGAAAAAAAGCAAGCGAAAAAUGAUAAUUACAAGUGUUACGGUGUGUUCCGGGUAUGACUAUUUGAAACUCUUGGCCUUCCAUACAGAAGAACUGUCCACAUUACUUUUCCUCAGCCAACAAGUUGAGUAAAAAACAGCAAAAGCACCUGCCUAUGUCAAUCUACUAUCCCCAUAGUACAAACGUUUUCCCUUAAUGAGCUUGUCCUUAUGUGCGAGAAAUAAAUACUCCAAACAUACUCUGAGGCACCGAGGUAAAAACAGUUUCAGGCUGGAUAUUGAUGGAUAUUCACGCAUUCAAACCUCAAUAGCUUUCAAACCACAGACUCCAAAUAAGUGUUGGAAAAAUUACGCACCGCAUUGCACAGGUCUUAUUUUUCACAAUUUGGACAUGAAUUGACUUUGCAAAGCUAAUAAAUGUGGAAAUGUGAGAA